rnacentral:rRNA from 1 species
UACGGGGGGGGCAAGCGUUGUUCGGAAUUACUGGGCGUAAAGGGCUCGUAGGCGGCCAACUAAGUCAUACGUGAAAUCCCUCAGCUUAACUGGGGAACUGCGUGCGAUACUGGAUGGCUUGGAUUUGGGAGAGGGAUGCGGAAUUCCAGGUGUAGCGGUGAAAUGCGUAGAUAUCUGGAGGAACACCGGUGGCGAAGGCGGCAUCCUGGACCAACACUGACACUGAGGAGCGAAAGCCAGGGGAGCAAACGGG